AUUGAACGCUGGCGGCAGGCCUAACACAUGCAAGUCGAACGGUAACAGGAAGAAGCUUGCUUCUUUGCUGACGGGUGGCGGACGGGUGAGUAAUGUCUGGGAAACUGCCUGAUGGAGGGGGAUAACUACUGGAAACGGUAGCUAAUACCGCAUAACGUCGCAAGACCAAAGAGGGGGACCUUCGGGCCUCUUGCCAUCGGAUGUGCCCAGAUGGGAUUAGCUAGUAGGUGGGGUAACGGCUCACCUAGGCGACGAUCCCUAGCUGGUCUGAGAGGAUGACCAGCCACGCUGGAACUGAGACACGGUCCAGACUCCUACGGGAGGCAGCAGUGGGGAAUAUUGCACAAUGGGCGCAAGCCUGAUGCAGCCAUGCCGCGUGUAUGAAGAAGGCCUUCGGGUUGUAAAGUACUUUCAGCGGGGAGGAAGGGAGUAAAGUUAAUACCUUUGCUCAUUGACGUUACCCGCAGAAGAAGCACCGGCUAACUCCGUG
rnacentral:rRNA from 1 species